ACCUGCUGGAGCUGGACUCCGACAACAUACAUUGUCUCCACGCUGGCAAAUCCUGGGAGCCAGAUGGUUAUACAACAGAGGGGCAGGAUCAGAGGGGGCUAGUCCCUUGCUCAUGGACCUUCAGCUGGAAUUUGAAGGUAUAAUGUGAAACCAGCCACCUUAGACGGAGGGGAGAGAGAGACCAGAAGGAGGCAGGUCCCUCCAGGCCACCCUGGAGCAGACGCAGCCAGCCGUGCUCCGAGGAGCCCGGGGGUUCCUUCGGCAGAAGAGCUCUGCGUCCCUCAGCAAUGGCGGGGCAGUCACCCAGCAGCGCUGUGGGGCCGAGGCCACCCCCAGGAGAGUGGCCCACAGGCUGCUGGCAGGAGUGUAGACAGGAGCGUGGCCGGCCCCCGAGAGAGUGGAGACAGCCCUCCUCCUCCUCAGAGAAGCAGCGCUUCUACUCCUGUGACCACUUUGGGCACCGUGAGCCCCUGAAGCCCAAACCCCCUCUCAGCAGCCACUCCACAUUACCAAUAGCUGGGCAGGAGCCAGGACCCCCGAGACAGGGUGGUGGUUCGGUGAAUGGGAGUCCCUUGUUGUCAGCAUCGGGUGCUAGCACCGCUGGCCUUGGUGGGCGGAGACAGCUCCCUUGGACUCUGCUGACCCCCGUCCCAGUGUCACCUACAAGACGGCCAACUCUUCCCCUGUCCACUUUGCUGGGGCUCAGGCCAACCUCCCCACCUUCUCCCCUGGCUGGCUUAGCCGUGGCCUUUCUGAACACAACGCUCUGCUCCAGAAAGACCCCCUCAGCCAGUCCCUGGCUUCCAGCUCUCGGAUUGGCUCUGACCCUUACCUGGGACAGUGUCUGGACAGUGAGGACACUGCCCGCACCCAGCCUGAGGACACGCUUACCUUCAAAGAGACUGUGGCCACCAACUUGGGCCGCUCCUCCUGGACUUCCUACGUGUCCUCUCUGACCUCCCAGUCCCACCCCCGCCGCCAAGUGCCCAAUGGCUACCACUGCACUCUGGGACUCAGCUCAGGUGGCCAGGUUCGACACAGCUACCACCACCCCGACCAAGACCCCAGGUGCUAGAUGGCUGCACCGCCUCCUCCACGCACCUGCUCAGAGGGCGUGUUCCAGUCGAUGAGUUUUAUCAUCCACGCUGGGCUCCCAGGGACGUUCAGGGGCACCGAUACAGGGGCAGCAGCCCCUGGGAGGAGGGGCCUCGCCUUUGGGGCCAGCUGUGGGGGGGGCCCACUCCUCCCCCCAUCCUCUCUCACGCUGGACCAAUUCCUAAAGCCCUUUUGGAGAGGGACGGGACUCCCUCUAUCCCCUUGUAUGCUGCCUGCCUGGGUCUCAUACCACAGACCCUACACGGGAAGUGGCUGCAUGUGCUGAGGAGGACCGUGACAGUCUGAAUCCUGUGCGAUGGAUCCCAGCAUCUGGGGUGUGUGCCUACAGCCAUUUUUAGGAGGUAGGAAUCUUGUGGAGACCAUCCUUUAUUCAAGUGUGUGGUACAGAGGAGCCCAGCGUGUUUAAAAGCCUGGCAAGACAAGACAGCUGACGGAAAACAGCAGCAGCCUUGGGAGCCGGCCUUUGGCUCCAUGCAAGUCCUAUCUGUGCCCACAAACACACACGCGUGUGGCGCUGCUCUUUGUACCUGGAACAGCAAAUGGACACUAGAAAUACACUCAGACCCUCUCUGUCCUCUCCCAGAUGCUGUCAACCCUGACAGGGACCAAAUCUGGAAACCGUUCUUGCUGUUGGUUUGGUUUUUAAUCACGACACCCUUCCCUCUUUUGUCAAUUCCAUAUACUUGACCUAGAAAAAAGAGAAAACCAGAAAAAUGGGGAAAUAGUAAUAUAACUUAAAGAAAAAAAUUCAACCUGUA